UACAGAGGGUGCGAGCGUUAAUCGGAAUUACUGGGCGUAAAGCGCACGUAGGUGGCGACGUAAGUCGGGUGUGAAAGCCCCGGGCUCAACCUGGGAAUUGCAUUCGAGACUGCAUUGCUGGAGUACGGAAGAGGAGGGCGGAAUUCCCGGUGUAGCGGUGAAAUGCGUAGAUAUCGGGAGGAACAUCAGUGGCGAAGGCGGCCCUUUGGUCCAGUACUGACACUCAAGUGCGAAAGCGUGGGGAGCAAACAGG
rnacentral:rRNA from 1 species